rnacentral:rRNA from 1 species
AUUGAACGCUGGCGGCAUGCUUUACACAUGCAAGUCGAACGGUAACAGGCCGCAAGGUGCUGACGAGUGGCGAACGGGUGAGUAAUGCAUCGGAACGUGCCCAGUCGUGGGGGAUAACGCAGCGAAAGCUGCGCUAAUACCGCAUACGAUCUAUGGAUGAAAGCGGGGGACCGUAAGGCCUCGCGCGAUUGGAGCGGCCGAUGUCAGAUUAGGUAGUUGGUGGGGUAAAGGCUCACCAAGCCAACGAUCUGUAGCUGGUCUGAGAGGACGACCAGCCACACUGGGACUGAGCCACGGCCCAGACUCCUACGGGAGGCAGCAGUGGGGAAUUUUGGACAAUGGGCGCAAGCCUGAUCCAGCAAUGCCGCGUGCAGGAAGAAGGCCUUCGGGUUGUAAACUGCUUUUGUACGGAACGAAACGGUCUUGGUUAAUACCCGGGGCUAAUGACGGUACCGUAAGAAUAAGGAUCGGCUAACUCCGUGCCAGCAGCCGCAGUAAUAC